UAACGCGUGGAUAACCUGCCGUAUACCGGGGGAUAACACUUGGAAAUAGGUGCUAAUACCGCAUAAGCGCACGGCUCCGCAUGGGGCAGUGUGAAAAACUCCGGUGGUAUACGAUGGAUCCGCGUCUGAUUAGCUAGUUGGCGGGGUAACGGCCCACCAAGGCAGCGAUCAGUAGCCGGCCUGAGAGGGUGGACGGCCACAUUGGGACUGAGACACGGCCCAAACUCCUACGGGAGGCAGCAGUGGGGAAUAUUGCACAAUGGGGGAAACCCUGAUGCAGCGACGCCGCGUGAGUGAAGAAGUAUCUCGGUACGUAAAGCUCUAUCAGCAGGGAAGAAAAUGACGGUACCUGACUAAGAAGCCCCGGCUAACUACGUGCCAGCAGCCGCGGUAAUACGUAGGGGGCAAGCGUUAUCCGGAUUUACUGGGUGUAAAGGGAGCGUAGACGGCAGCACAAGUCUGGAGUGAAAGGCCGGGGCUCAACCCCGGGACUGCUCUGGAAACUAUUUAACUUGAGUGCAGGAGAGGUAAGCGGAAUUCCUAGUGUAGCGGUGAAAUGCGUAGAUAUUAGGAGGAACACCAGUGGCGAAGGCGGCCUGCUGGGCUUUAACUGACGCUGAGGCUCGAAAGCGUGGGUAGCAAACAGGAUUAGAUACCCUGGUAGU
rnacentral:rRNA from 1 species